rnacentral:lncRNA from 1 species
CUCAGAGGUCCCAUAUCAAAAAUAAAAGGUUCUUGGGGUGCUGAGGAAGGAGGAUCACUGCAUGUUCAAAGCUAGCCUGCACUACAUAAUAAAGAGAGUGGAGAUAUUUCUCUGAAGAUGUGACAUUUGAGCAGACCUGAUCGAAAUAAGGGUUGAACAAUGUGAGGCUGUGCUGGAAGACUAUUCCAGGAAAAAGAAAGAGCAAGUGGGAAUAACUGUGGAGAAACAGGACCUGAUUUGUGUUUUUAAAGAUCAAUCGCACCGUUUUAUGAAUACCUGCCGACCAUGGAGAGGCGAGACAGCAAGCAGGCCAGGUUAAGCAUCCCUGACGUGAAAAUCUGAACUGCUUCAAAAUCUGUAACUUUGUGAGUGCUGACAUGACAAAUCCACAUCUGACCUCUUGACAGGCUACAGUCACAAUGCAGAUCUGGAAGCCACUGCACACAGUCUGAAGGAAGCUUUGCUAACCUGGGGGUGGGCUGUCAACAAAGACAAGAGCUCUAAAGCUGGACUAUAAAGUCACAGAAGACGGUGAUGUGAAGAGACAGAUGGCUACAGCUUCCUCUCCAAAAACAAUCCUGGAACAGAAAAGUGAUUUCAAACAAUUAUAAUGAUUACAAAGGAACUGUUAGCACCUGCUGCUGACUUUUGGCAGUCAUCAGUCAAUGAAGGACUCAGAAUAUUUGUUAACAACAACC